rnacentral:rRNA from 1 species
CCUACGGGUGGCUGCAGUGGGGAAUAUUGCACAAUGGGCGCAAGCCUGAUGCAGCAACGCCGCGUGCGGGAUGACGGCCUUCGGGUUGUAAACCGCUUUUGUCAGGGAAGAAGGGCUUCGGCUUGACGGUACCUGGAGAAAAAGGACCGGCUAACUACGUGCCAGCAGCCGCGGUAAUACGUAGGGUCCGAGCGUUGUCCGGAAUUAUUGGGCGUAAAGAGCUCGUAGGCGGUUCGUCGCGUCUGCCGUGAAAUCCUCAGGCUCAACCUGAGGUC